AUAACUUAAUCGGCCUAAACCCACUGUAAAGCCACUUCAAACCCACGUGGGUUAGUGGUGGUCGAUCCAGUCGAUAAGGCAGUGGUCUAAUCUUGUUACGCGCAAUAUUCCCGCUUGGCAAAGAGUAACUCAUUUUGAUGCCUCUCGCUACCCCUGGCCUUAGUUUUAAAGGAAUCAUGCGACACACUCGCACUCCACUACCCCAUCCCAUGGAAAAACGCUCCCACCAUCGAGGUGUUGACCAAAAUUUCGCUAUGUGCAUGAGACACACACUCGCACUCCUCCAGCCCUCCACAGCUAAACGCUCCCACCGUUGCGAAGUUUGCGAGAAUUUUUGCUCUGAGCGUGAGAUCCUGAAGCACCAGAGAUGACACUAUGUGUAAAGACGAUCAUAAUUCGGUAUGGUCAAAAUGCGUCGAUUGUCGUUUCAUUUAUCUGGUAAUGAUGCAUUCACUUCAUCAAAAUUUUAAACGUUCACAACUAGACUGAUAACAAUAUUUGAAUUUUUAAUCAGAAUAAAACCAAUUCAUUUGAAGCAAAAUAAAUUCCAUUAUACUUUAUUUUGACCAUAUGAUCAACACUUGUACAUAGUGCCAUUUACUUUGUGUUCUUCACUCUCGCGCUGUGUUUUGAUCGUUCGAAACUCAUUGCCAGAACGAAUGCAAAUUUCAUACGGGAAUGAUCGGUGCCGGAAGAGGCAGCGAAAAUUAUGAAAUGAUAAUAGAAAAGUGGUUAAGUUAAUCGUGAAAGAUGUCAACGCAGACGUAAAUGUAGUAUGUUUUGUUACAUGAUCUACGGCUAUUUCAUUACCAAAGCUCCUGAUAACAGAUCAAAGCAGAUGGAUCGGGCAUACAGAGUCGCCGUUUAAUUUAAAAUAUCUGCGUGAUCGCAAACGCAUCAAACAGCAAGUGUUUUUCCUUCCAACAGCACGCACCAUCGGUGGUGCAGCAGCUAACGUUUUGUUCGCCUAGCGCGCACCAUCAAGAAUUGAUAUUUUGCCAAACAGUACUGUGAAUAAAAAACUGCACACUUACUGUACGAA